UCGAGAAUCUUUCACAAUGGGGGAAACCCUGAUGGAGCGACGCCGCGUGGAGGAUAAGGUCUUCGGAUUGUAAACUCCUGUCAUGCGAGAGCAAGAUUGGUCAUUUAAUAGGUGAUUAAUUUGAUAGUAUCGCAAGAGGAAGAGACGGCUAACUCUGUGCCAGCAGCCGCGGUAAUACAGAGGUCUCAAGCGUUGUUCGGAAUCACUGGGCGUAAAGGGUGCGUAGGUGGCGUGGUAAGUCAGAUGUGAA
rnacentral:rRNA from 1 species